rnacentral:rRNA from 1 species
AUUGAACGCUGGCGGCAGGCCUAACACAUGCAAGUCGAGCGGAGCGCCGGACGGGUGCGUGUUGCCUAGGUAUCUGCCUGGUAGUGGUGGAUAACGUUCGGUACUGGGCGCUGUUACCGCAUCCUCUCACUUUAGCAUAGGCCGGAUUAGCUAGAUGGUGGGGUAAAGGCCUACAAAGGCGACGAUCCGUAGCCGGUCUGAGAGGAUGAUCAGUCACACUGGAACUGAGACACGGUCCAGACUCCUACGGGAGGCAGCAGUGGGGAAUAUUGGACAAUGGGCGAAAGCCUGAUCCAGCCAUGCCGCGUGUAUGAAGAAGGUCUUAGGAUUGUAAAGCACUUUAAGUUGGGAGGCGUUACCAACAGAAUAAGCACCGGCUAACUUCGUGCCAGCAGCCGCGGUAAUAC